rnacentral:rRNA from 1 species
UCUGCCCCCCGCCCGCUCUCCGUUGUUGCCCGUCUCCUGCUCCAACUAUUUUUAAAUUGCUGUGGUAUUUUGACUAUACAAAGGUAUUGAAAUAAGACUUUAAUUGAGUGCUAAGAGAAUGGAAUUUCAUAAAAUUUCUUUUUUAAUUUUAAAAAUUGAAAUUAAUUUUAUAUGUGAAGAAACAAUAAUAAAAAUUAAGGACAAGAAGACCCUAAGAAUUUUAAAAAUUUCAAUAUAAUAUAAUAUUAUAUUGAAAUUUUUUAAUUGGGGCGAUUAUUAAAUAUUAAAAACUUUAAUUUUUUUAAAAAAGAACCAAUAUUAUUGGUUAUUUGAGAAAAUACUCUAGGGAUAACAGCGUAAUAAUUUUUGAUAGUUCUUAUAGACAAAAUAGUUUGCGACCUCGAUGUUGGAUUAGGAUUCUUUUUUAAUGAAGAAGUAAAAAAAGAAGUUGUCACUUAUU